rnacentral:lncRNA from 10 species
CAGAAUUCUUUUGCUCUUCUUAUAAAGCCACAAGUCUGAUCAUGGAAGCACCACCCCAAUGAUCUUAUCUCAUUCUAAUUACCUCUCAAAGGUCUCACCUGUAAAUAUCAUCAACAUCUGAAUUUAAGUUUUCAACAUAUGAAAUUUGGUGGAUAUAGUCAAACUGUAGCAGUCAUGAAGCAAGAAUCGAAUACUUUCAAAGACUUUGAAUCAUAUAGAAUGUUUUCUCUUCACAACAGAAAAAAUUAUAAAUCAAUAACAAGAAGAUAUCUGGGAUAUUUUCAGGGAGAAGUAAACAUCUACAUAUUUCUGAAUUUCAAAAAGAAUCGAAAACAUUCGAGAUUGUCAGAAGAAGCAAAGUUCAUCUUAGCACUGACUCAACAGGAAAUUUCUCAAGUGGAAUUUUACA